GAUGAACGCUGGCGGCGUGCCUAAUACAUGCAAGUCGAGCGAACGGACGAGAAGCUUGCUUCUCUGAUGUUAGCGGCGGACGGGUGAGUAACACGUGGAUAACCUACCUAUAAGACUGGGAUAACUUCGGGAAACCGGAGCUAAUACCGGAUGAUAUUUUGAACCGCAUGGUUCAAAAGUGAAAGACGGUCUUGCUGUCACUUAUAGAUGGAUCCGCGCUGCAUUAGCUAGUUGGUAAUGUAACGGCUUACCAAGGCAACGAUGCAUAGCCGACCUGAGAGGGUGAUCGGCCACACUGGAACUGAGACACGGUCCAGACUCCUACGGGAGGCAGCAGUAGGGAAUCUUCCGCAAUGGGCGAAAGCCUGACGGAGCAACGCUGCGUGAGUGAUGAAGGUCUUCGGAUCGUAAAACUCUGUUAUUAGGGAAGAACAUAUGUGUAAGUAACUGUGCACAUCUUGACGGUACCUAAUCAGAAAGCCACGGCUAACUACGUG
rnacentral:rRNA from 1 species